CAGGAAGCUGCGGGACGGGUCGGGGGUCGGGGUCGUGACCUCCGGCCACACAGCCUAGCUCUCCGCGGGGCCGGGCGGACCCUCAGGGAGCGGCGGCCGAGGUUUAGGGCGGCCCCGGAAGCAGAGCGCCGGCGGCUUUGGUCUGGUCGUGGUGAGAGGAGAUCGCGGACAAGCCGCCUUCCCAGCCCAGCACCGUUUUUAUCCCCCUCCCCCAGGCUCUCUGUGGCCGGGGCGCCAUCAGAGCUGGGCUGGGAUAAUAAAAAGGACUGUUGAACUUCACAUCUGCCAUCUAUAACACAUUCUUAAUGAAGCAAUCUUGCACCAGGGGAUUUAUCAACUCUGCCAAAUUUCCUAAAAUUACCAAAUGGAGAAAAAAGAGCUGGUCCCGCCUCUCACCAGGCACAACCAGCACAAUCUCUGACUUUCACUGUGAUGACUGCAGACAGGAUGGGGUCUGAAUGCUGGUCUUCAACGCACCAUACGACAGUGCUAGACCCUCAACUGUAUGAAGGGGAAGAAAGCCCUCCUUAAAAGAUUUACUGGAGUUAACACCUGGGGAUCCUCAAGAAAUGAACGCUACCACUGUUCUGCUUCAGAAGGUAGAAAUACAGGGAAUACACUUUAGAUAGGUUAAGAUAAAAAGUUUUGUGUUUAAGGCAGUUCGGUUGCCUGGAAAAUUCACUUCUGUAUAAUGCCUAAUUUGUUAAUGAUGCUGUGAGUAGAUGCUUUGUAGUAACUAUACAAGUUUGUUUUUCUUUUAUGAAAAAGUAGAGUAAUGUGUCCUCUGACGUUAGGAGUAGGAGCGUUUGAAUAAAGGACUUUAAACCAAUGAA